CCUACGGGGGGCAGCAGUUAGGAAUAUUGGUCAAUCGACGAGAGUCUGAACCAGCCAAGUAGCGUGAAGGAUGACUGCCCUAUGGGUUGUAAACUUCUUUUAUAAAGGAAUAAAACGAGGCACGUGUGCCUUUUUGCUUGUACUUUAUGAAUAAGGAUCGGCUAACUCCGUGCCAGCAGCCGCGGUAAUACGGAGGAUCCGAGCGUUAUCCGGAUGUAUUGGGUUUAAAGGGAGCGUAGAUGGGUUGUUAAGUCAGUUGUGAAAGUUUGCGGCUCAACCGUAAAAUUGCAAUUGAUACUGGCAGUCUUGAGUACAGUUGAGGUAGGCGGAAUUCGUGGUGUAGCGGUGAAAUGCUUAGAUAGCACGAAGAACCCCGAUUGCGAAGGCAGCUUACUAAACUGUGACUGACAUUGAGGCUCGAAAGUGUGGGUAUCAAACAGGAUUAGAUACCCGUGUAGUC
rnacentral:rRNA from 1 species